AUGUUCGCGCUGGCCAUAGUCAUGGCCGUGGUGGCCGGUGUCUCGGCGCAGAACACCCUGCAGGACUUCGUCAACCUGCACAACCGCGCCCGCGCCGCGGACGGCGUCGGCCCGGUGACAUGGACAACAGCGUGGCCAGGGUCGCGCAGGACUACGCGAACAAGCGCGCCGCCGACUGCCGGCUGCAGCACUCGGCGGGCCGUUCGGCGAGAACAUCUUCUGGGGUUCCGGGCAGUCGUGGACGGCCUCGAACGCCGUGAAGUCGUGGGUGGACGAGAAGCGGAACUACCACCUCAACACCAACACCUGCAACGCCGGCAAGGUGUGCGGGCACACGCAGGUGGUGUGGCGCAAGUCGACCCGCAUCGGCUGCGCGCGCGUGGUCAGCGCCGGGAACCGGGGCGUCUUCACACCUGCAACUACAACCCCCCGGGCAACUUCAACGGCGAGCGCCCGUUCGCGUUCCUCACCCUUGACGCCGAAGCCAAGUGUAGGUACGUAAAUAAGCGCACAUUCCGGCCUGCAUGUAUCCAUGCGGCACUAUGGAGCGUAGGUAUAACGAAGACAAAGAUCAUGGGACUUGAACAUGUUAUUAGUAGAGAAAUGCUGCAACUUCGACAAACUCAUGUGUUUAUGAAAGUUGCUCCAUCGAGGCAGAGGCCCAGAAGCGGCAUCGAGCUAUACUCACGAUGCGUCGUCAGUGGAUGUGGAUGUGCUCACUUGACAGCUUCUCCCAGCACAUGUUACAGUAGCAUCACCAUGACUGCCAUAGGGAAGGAACAAAGGCAAACUCACCUUGGGUUGGGGAGAGGGGGCGAGGGCGAGAAGGCUGGCUCAAAGGAGGACAUGGUGACAGCGGCAUCAAUGGCGUCAAGGUGCGUGUCUCCUGCCGGUGGGGUUGUUUCUCCUAGCUGGUGGCGGGGAAGUGCUCCUUCGGGACGGGAUCCGACGGGAACGGGGCUGGAAUGGUCAGAUCUACCGGCAAAGAGGCUCGCGGCCGGCGAGGGGUGGAAUCGGGCGCGGCGGCGGCGAUCGGCGGCGCUGGUUAGGUUACGAGGGGAAGAGAUGUCGAGGGAAAAGGGGUUGUUGCAUACUGAUUUGGGGAAUAGGUGUCAAAUACAAGUGCUGCGAAAUGUUUUUUUGACUUGGCGGUGGCAUCCUCUUGUAAUUAUGUCGAACUCCUCGCUUCCGCAUUUCCUGAAGCUGGGCUUGAGCUGCUUCAACUUUUUGCACUAG
rnacentral:rRNA from 1 species